AACGAUGUAUUUUAUUUGUAGAAUAUCGGGUUUGCGUCUCGAAGGAGGAUGUUUAUCUCUUCGUUA
rnacentral:tRNA from 1 species